rnacentral:rRNA from 1 species
UGACCUCGGAUCAGACGUGAAUACCCGCUGAACUUAAGCAUAUCACUAAGCGGAGGAAAAGAAACUAACAAGGAUUCCCUUAGUAACGGCGAGUGAACAGGGAUGAGCCCAGCACCGAAGCCUGUGGCCAUUUGGUUACUAGGCAAUGUGGUGUUUAGGUCGUUCCGCAGAGACACUGCUCCUCUCUAAGUCCAUCAAUGAGUACGGUUGUACUGACAUGGCCCAUGGAGGGUGAAAGGCCCGUAAGAGAGGAGUUUUGGUAUAACAGUGUCUCUCUGGAUUGACCUUGGAGUCGGGUUGUUUGGGAAUGCAGCCCUAAGCGGGUGGUAAACUCCAUCCAAGGCUAAAUACAAGCACGAGUCCGAUAGCGAACAAGUACCGUGAGGGAAAGUUGAAAAGUACUUUGAAGAGAGAGUAAACAGUGCGUGAAACCGCUUAGAGGUAAACGGGUGGAGUUGAACUGCAAUCUCUGAGAAUUCAGCUGGGGAAUUUUGCUUGAGCUUGGUCAAAUGGGCAGGGCCCCGGGGUAUGCUUAUUUGCAUGUUCUGACCUUCGGGUUGGGAUGCGCGUUGCUCUUAUCAAGGGCUGCGCGCCUCGGGUGUCCGGCUGGCUCUAUCGCCAGUGCACUUUCUCGGAGUGAUCACCACGACCGGCGCUGCUGCUUGGCUGUUAUUGUUAACCCGAACAUUCAUCGUCCUUGUGGCGUUGGGUGGUCGACACGGCAGGUAACUGGGGGCUUGCUUCGGCUUGCUUCUCGGUGUAUGUCGGCUUUAACGGUUCUAUGCGGUGUGUCGGAGACGGCGGCUAGUUGUGUGUGCAUGCGUAUCUAUCUGUUGGCAUAUUCUGGUUUGGUGGCUGUGUGCUUGUUCAAGCAGGCCCAGUGAUGGCCGGGGUGUGUCAGUGGGUGGUUGUGUGUGUGGCACUUUUCAGGGCCAACA